CGCCUCUUGAAAAACAUAAGAGGUCCAGCCUGCCCAGUGACAUUGUUUAACGGCCGCGGUAUCCUAACCGUGCGAAGGUAGCGUAAUCACUUGUCCUUUAAAUGAGGACUAGUAUGAAUGGCAUCACGAGGAUUAUUCUGUCUCCUUUCUCUAAUCAGUAAAACUAAUCUUCCCGUGAAGAAGCGGGGAUACACUUAUAAGACGAGAAGACCCUAUGGAGCUUUAAACAAAACAACAUUUGUUAACUUCCCCUCAAAUUUCAGAAAAACAAUUUUUAUCUUAACACUGUGUUUGUUAGUUUUAGGUUGGGGUGACCGCGGAGAAAAAAGUAACCUCCACAUUGAAGGGGGCUUUCCCUAAACAAAAAGUCACAACUUUAUGUAUCAACAAAUUGACAUCAAUUGACCCAAUAUUUUGAUCAACGAAACAAGUUACCCUAGGGAUAACAGCGCAAUCCACUUCGAGAGCCCCUAUCGACAGGUGGGUUUACGACCUCGAUGUUGGAUCAGGGUAUCCUAGUGGUGCAGCCGCUACUAAAGGUUCGUUUGUUCAACGAUUAAAACCCU
rnacentral:rRNA from 1 species